AGAAUGAACGCUGGCGGCAUGCCUAACACAUGCAAGUCGAACGAAGGCUUCGACCUUAGUGGCGCACGGGUGCGUAACGCGUGGGAAUCUACCCUUCGGUUCGGAAUAACAGCUAGAAAUGGCUGCUAAUACCGGAUGACGACGUAAGUCCAAAGAUUUAUCGCCGAGGGAUGAGCCCGCGUAGGAUUAGCUAGUUGGUGUGGUAAAGGCGCACCAAGGCGACGAUCCUUAGCUGGUCUGAGAGGAUGAUCAGCCACACUGGGACUGAGACACGGCCCAGACUCCUACGGGAGGCAGCAGUGGGGAAUAUUGGACAAUGGGCGAAAGCCUGAUCCAGCAAUGCCGCGUGAGUGAUGAAGGCCUUAGGGUUGUAAAGCUCUUUUACCCGGAUGAUAAUGACAGUACCGGGAGAAUAAGCUCCGGCUAACUCCGUGCCAGCAGCCGC
rnacentral:rRNA from 1 species